AGCAGCCGCGGUAAUUCCAGCUCCAAUAGCGUAUAUUAAAGUUGCUGCAGUUAAAAAGCUCGUAGUUGAAUUUCGGGACCAUCAUGUCGGUCGUGCCUCGGUACGUACUGGCAUUGUUGGUUUCUACCUUCUGACGAACCAUGAUGUCAUUUAUUUGGUGUCGUGGGAAAUCAGGACUGUUACUUUGAAAAAUUAGAGUGUUUAAAGCAGGCUCACGCUUGAAUACAUUAGCAUGGAAUAAUGAAAUAGGACGUUUGAUUCUAUUUUGUUGGUUUCUAGGAUCGACGUAAUGAUUAAUAGGGAUAGUUGGGGGCAUUAGUAUUCAAUUGUCAGAGGUGAAAAUUCUUGGAUUUAUUGAAGACUAACUACUGCGAAAGCAUUUGCCAAGGAUGUUUUCAUUAAUCAAGAACGAAAGUUAGGGGAUCGAAGACGAUCAGAUACCGUCGUAGU
rnacentral:rRNA from 1 species